rnacentral:rRNA from 1 species
GACGAACGCUGGCGGCGUGCUUAACACAUGCAAGUCGAACGAUGAACCCGGAGCUUGCUCCGGUGGAUUAGUGGCGAACGGGUGAGUAACACGUGAGUAACCUGCCCUUGACUCUGGGAUAACUGCGGGAAACUGUAGCUAAUACCGGAUACGACCCUCGGCGGCAUCGCCAGGGGGUGGAAAGAAUUUCGGUCAAGGAUGGACUCGCGGCCUAUCAGCUAGUUGGUGAGGUAACGGCUCACCAAGGCGACGACGGGUAGCCGGCCUGAGAGGGUGACCGGCCACACUGGGACUGAGACACGGCCCAGACUCCUACGGGAGGCAGCAGUGGAGAAUAUUGCACAAUGGGCGCAAGCCUGAUGCAGCAACGCCGCGUGAGGGAUGACGGCCUUCGGGCUGUAAACCUCUUUUAGUAGGGAAGAAGCGAAAGUGACAGUACCUGCAGAAAAAGCACCGGCUAACUACGUGCCAGCCGCCGCAGUAA